CCUACGGGAGGCAGCAGUGGGGAAUAUUGGACAAUGGGGGGAACCCUGAUCCAGCGACGCCGCGUGAGUGAAGAAGUAUUUCGGUAUGUAAAGCUCUAUCAGCAGGGAAGAAAGAAAUGACGGUACCUGACUAAGAAGCCCCGGCUAACUACGUGCCAGCAGCCGCGGUAAUACGUAUGGAGCAAGCGUUAUCCGGAUUUACUGGGCGUAAAGGGAGCGUAGGCGGCCUGCCAAGUCUGAUGUGAAAUACCGGGGCUCAACCCCGGGGCUGCAUUGGAAACUGGCAGGCUGGAGUGCCGGAGAGGCAGGCGGAAUUCCUAGUGUAGCGGUGAAAUGCGUAGAUAUUAGGAGGAACACCAGUGGCGAAGGCGGCCUGCUGGACGGUGACUGACGCUGAGGCUCGAAAGCGUGGGGAGCAAACAGGAUUAGAUACCCGAGUAGUC
rnacentral:rRNA from 1 species